rnacentral:rRNA from 1 species
ACGGAGCCACUGGGUGUAAAGGGCGUGUAAGCGGUUCUGCAAGUCAGAUGUGAAAUUUUCGGGCUUAACCCGGAAGCUGCAUCUGAAACUGCAGAACUUGAGUACUGGAGAGGAUAGUGGAAUUCCUAUUGUAGCGGUAAAAUGCGUAGAUAUUAGGAGGAACACCAGUGGCGAAGGCGACUAUCUGGACAGUAACUGACGCUGAGGCGCGAAAGCGUGGGGAGCAAACAGGAUUAGAUACUCUGGGAGUCCACGCCGUAAACGAUGAAUACUAGGUGUAGGGGGUAUCGACUCCCGCUGUGCCGCAGCUAACGCAGUAAGUAUUCCACCUGGGGAGUACGGCCGCAAGGUUGAAACUCAAAGGAAUUGACGGGGGCCCGCACAAGCAGUGGAUUAUGUGGUUUAAUUCGAAGCAACGCGAAGAACCUUACCAGGGACUUGACAUCCUCUGACCGCCAUAGAGAUAUGGUUUCCCUUCGGGGCAGAGAGACAGGUGGUGCAUGGUUGUCGUCAGCUCGUGUCGUGAGAUGUUGUGGUUACUCCCAACAACGAGCGCAACCCCUAGUGUCUGGUGCCAUCACUCAGUUGGGCACUCUGGAGAGACUGCCGGUGACUACCCGGAGGGAGUGGUAGUGAUGACGUCAUAUCAUCAUGCCCCGUUGAUGGACCUGGAUAAACACACAUACUACAAUGCCUGUUAACAGAGGGGAAACAAGACAGGGAUGUGGAAGCUAUCCCCCACAAACGGUCUCAGCUGCGGAUGGUAGGCUGCAGCCGACAUACAGUGAGCUCGGAUGGUGAGUUAUCGCGAUCAA